CUGGACCAGAUUCUGUUGUCAUGCUGGUGCGGAAGAGCAAUUCAACUGGUGCCAGAGGAUUUCCACUGACAUAAAUUUAGUGUUUUCCCUCCCCCUCAUCCUUUCUACCAAAAGAACUGGAGAGCUGUGGUCAAUGGCAUCACUGAAGGACGCACAGGCUGAGAGACAGUUAACUGAACACAGCGAGUGGAAAACUCCAGCCUGGAUUACCAAGCGCUUGCAAAGCAAAGCUUCUUUACGUUGUUAAUGCUGAUUUGGAUCAUAAACAAAAGUGAGUGUGACAAGUCCUCCAAGAAGAACUUCUGGAUCAUGGUGAGCUGGUGUCAUCUGGGAGCUGUGACUCCUGCAGGCUCCAGGGGUGACCAGCCGUUCAGCUGCAAGAGAACAUGUCAGAAUCCAGCAGAGACACCCAGGAAUGUAAGAUUUAAAGGAAAAGAAAAACAAACCCAAACAAGACAAGUCUUCAUGUGGUCCUGGCUCGGCUUUUAUUCACAACAAUGGAGGUGCAAGUGAGCAGUGAGUGAGUACAAAGUCAUUUAUGUGUGUUUGUCUCCACGAGUUCACUGGCGAGUCUGCAUAUGCCUGUGUCUAUUCAUAUGUAUAUCUUUGGGUAAGUUUGCCAGUACAUGUUCAAAUACAACAUACACGGGGAAGAGACUACGGAAGACCUCCGGUCACAGUGAAGCUGAAGGUGUGAUUGCGCUCCUAUACCAGCGCUAACUAGAUAGUUCAAGUAACAGUUGCAGAAGAAGUACAGCAGCACAAACUUCAGUGAGAAAUUGCUACAGAAACAUAGGUCUAUAUUGGGGCACUUCCUGUGUGAUGUCUGCUCAGAGUACCAGCGUUAAUUUAAGAACAUUUAGCUAUGGCCGAUGGAAACUUACUGAAAUUGCAGGAUAGACGUAGCCCAGACCAGGGCCUAUCCGUACAUAAAGUCUCACAUUGCUGCAACAAUAAUUGUUCAGAAACAUUUGUAGUGAAAGUUGUACAGCUGUCUAGUGGCAUGCAGUUAUACCAGCAGAGAGGCGAUAUAUGCUAAUCCCGUCGUUACUAGGGCAUUGACUGCACUACAUCAAUUUCUAUAAGGGAGGAGAAUUAGAACAAUACAAAACCUGUGUGCAGAAAUGCCCAAUGACUUAAAGGCUUUAGAAUGUGUUAGCUCUAAUUACUGUGUUUGAAAUCUGUAAGCCAGCUCAGGUAGUGUAUACUUCAGCACCUUCUAAAUUGGUCAGGGCAGGUUCCACCUAGUCUUUAAUUUGACCUUUCCCGCAUGUAUUAAAAUCAGUUUACACCUUGAUUACACUAGACUCUCCUGACACAUUACUUCCAAAGGAUUAGCUAACAAAGUUCAUCUGCCUGGUCUGAACAAGCGUACUCUGUGUGUGCACACACACACACACACAUGUUUGUAUACACUUGUGAAUUAAGGAAGAGACCCAUAGUUUAUCCUUUUAUGGCAUUGUUUCAUGUUGAGAUGGCACACCUAUGUUAUCUUCUUUUCAAUGUUCACUAAGUUUUUAUUGUUGCAACCCAGUAAUAGAUUCUAGCGAUACCGAGAUAUUGGAAAGUCGGUUUCCCCGUGUAUCUUUUUGUUACUAUGAUUUUAGGAGGGAAGGCAGGCAGGAAGUUAAGGAAGUGGAUUAGCACAUAGUGAUGUGUAAGUGUUGGGACAUGGCCAAGCCUUAGAUUAAUACAUCAUGACCAUCACUUCAUCAUCUUUUGAUGCAAUGAGUUUUUCUUACCAAUGGAGCAGAUUAGAGUAGUACAAUCAAAGGCUUUAGAAAGAAGAGAGAAAGAAUCUGGUGAAGGUUUUCUUCUGCGUUACAGCUUUGAUAUCUCAAAUCUUUCACAGCAGUUGCAAGUUAGCAAUAAAUAACAUCUGAGGAGAGAGGAAGAGACAGGGGGAAAAGAUGCAUUUUAAUUGCGAUAUGGGCAAAAAUAUGUAGUUAGUGGAGACAGAAGCACAGAGAAGCUGGACAGUACCUGGAAUUGCAGAGAAGGUGGCUCUUGCCUUAAGAGUAAAGGGUCAGAGAAAGUGGUUAAUACGACCGCAGUUUUGAUGCUUAACUCCUUAUUCCAUUGGUGAUUUCUGUAAGUGCUUUUUUACAUCACACAGGCACCACUUGAAUGUAGCUGAACUUCUUGUUUUCCAAAAGCUUUGCAGAGAAGGGCAAUCUCUCUUGCUACAUUAAGGGGACAGGAACACUGAAGUGUGCAGUCAUUAAGAGUUUGCCAUUGGUUUUAAUAGAAAUGGGAUUAUACCCUUUGAAUUUAAACUCCUUGUUGUAGAGAUCUCAGGGCUGAUUCUGAUCUAAGCUACCACAAUGCACCUGAUCUUCAGCCAGUAAGGAAGAGAGAUGGAUCUGUCCUUUUAUCAUCUGAUGGGGUUGUCCAGUGCCAUAUCAUCUGAUAGCAAGUAUAAUGGUCUCUUGGUGCACAGCAGUCACUGGGUAAUUCUUGCUGUGCACUAUGUGUUAGCAGCAUGCAAAGGUCUGUGAGCUACAAGGCCAGGUGACUGUUCACAGCGCAGAAUAUUCCAUUAUACCAAGUCAGAGAGAGAAGAUCAGAUGUGUCCCCUGCAUGGGAAGUUAUUUGUUAUUUAGAACAAGGGAGCAGCUAGUUUAGUGAUAGAGUCUGUGGCUUCCAGAUAACAAUUCCUUUGACUCUCCCCAACACAAUUUUAUUCUUCUUGUUUUGUGAGCAUUAAACUACUUGGACUGUUCUCAUAGCUAUGCAGGGCACUUGCAGGGCAAGUGAAUUUGGAAGAGGUAUUUUGUGUAAAUAGUUUGAGGAGAAACUACCUUCUACUGUCCGAGACUGUUCUCCUGGAAGCAGACAAAAUGCCUGCAUUAGGUAGAGAUGUAUGCAAGUUACAGCUCUGUUUGUUGUGUAUCCUCAUUCUACCAUAACCCUACUUUCAAGAAAGAAAGAAAGAAAGAAAGAAAGAAAGAAAGAAAGAAAGAAAGAAAGAAAAUGCUUACUAAGCUCUGUGGUGCUCCUUUUCCCCUCCAAUAAAUUGGUGUAAAAGGCUGGCGUCUGUAUGAAUUAGAUGUAAAAAGGGUAAAGCCCAGCAGUUCCUGAGGAAGCAAUUUUUAGAGGCAAAGCCCUUUGCAAUGUCUUCCUUCCUAACCCUCCUCCCCUGAAUAUCCACUCAUGCCCUGCCUGCUGCUGCUCUUGCUGCUGGGCUGUCAAAAUAUCUCUCGUAAUGAAGCAGUCUGGCCUGAGGCUAGUAUUACCUCCAAUGCCAAUCCUGCUGAGCAUGACUCUGGCAGCGUGGCUGGGCUGCUCACAUGCUGCAGCGAGCAUAGAGCAUGUCAUGGCUGGGCUACACCUGGAAAGGAGCAAGAGACAAAAAGCAAUGAAUCUUGGCUGUUAGACAACCUUGAUGUCCUCUGAGGCUCCAGAAGGGUAGUAGAGAAGACAUGAGUUUGGCUGGGUCAGGCAGUGGUGCUGUGGCUGUUUGACUGGUCUUGUUCCUGUUUUUUGGUAGGCUCAGAGCAAUUUGGUAGCAUGUUCCAGGGACAGGGCUGUUGCUUCCCAUCCCUGGUGUGAUAAUGUCAAGGUAAUUUUGUGGGAAAUACGGGGUGCAUGGUGAGAGAAGCUGUUGACUUGCAGUCAUUGAAGGGCUGAGCACCCCAGCUUCUUUGGGGGAAGAAACAUGAUCCAGUGGAUACUGACCCAACUGUUUAAAGACCUGUUUGAUUAUCUGAGCUGUCCUGGUGUCAGGCCUAUAGGACAGAACUUGGCUAGUGUAGUUACAUUUGGGCUGUGAGGAACUCAUGCCACACGACUGCUAAGGCAAGGCCAGCGAGACUUGCACUGUAGAUGCAGCUACACUGACAGAACGUUAUAUCUUUUGGUUUAGCUUAGCUUAGGCACAGGUGAAAUGGUGCCAGAGAUGCAUAUAUGGCAUCCAUGGUGGAAACAUGCAAGAACAGAAGCUUUGGAGUAGUUUGUGAGCUCAGACUGCUCUUUUUACUUGUACCUGUGUGCCUGUUUCCUCCCAGCCUCAACCUGUCUUUCCUGUAGAGGGGCAGGGUUUGCAUCUGCAAUGAGUUUUUAAAACAGAUAGCACAAAGGACCUUUGAUCUCGGUUAGAAACUCAAAGGUUUACUGUCACAGACAUAAAUAACAAAUUACAUUUCAAAAGUUCCCCCUCCUUUUACAGGUAGAAUAAUGGAGGCCUAUCCAGGAUAAGUAAUUUGCCCAUGAAGCUGGUGGCAGAAUGAGGAGUAAAGUCCUUAUCUCUUAACUUUCAGAUCUGUGCUUUAAGCACAUUACCAUCUUUCCUUGUAACAUGCUUUACAGCACAGCCAGCUCUUCGCAGUCAUUGAUACGUUUGAUGUGAGAGAAAGAAAAGGUCCAGGUUUUGUUUAAACCCUACAUGAUGUAUUCCAGAAGUGAGGAACUAGAUGUUAGAAAAUUAUCACUAUUUAUUACAUUUAUUGUGGCAGUGCCUUUGCGAGCAAGUUAAGAUUGUUCUUUCUUUUUGCUAGGUGCUGUAGAAACACACAAGCAAAAGACAUGGUGACUCGUGCCCCCAAACUUUAAAGCAUUUUCCAGUCCCUUAGUUCAGCGUUUGCAAAGCACGUCUAGUUCUCUGUCUCACCGUAUGCAUGUAGAUUUGCUAAGAUCUCUCUGAUCACUUCUCCAGUGGUGAAUCUGUUUACACUAAUACCAACAGCUCUAAUGUUAGAGGAAAGAGCUGAACAACUGCAGACUCCCUGCUGUUGAACUCAGCCAUCCAGACGGUGCUCUUGCAUUUUAUUAUAGUGAGGAGGGAUAGGGAGGACUUGAUCGUAAAUUUUAGUGCUUGUAAGAGACUCAUAGGAUCAGCUAAAGUCUAUUCCUCCUGAAUCCCUCCACACAUCUGCCAGGACACCUUGUGAAUGUGUGGGAAACCCUGCCCUGGCCCAACCCAUGCGCCUCAUGUUGGGCCACCAUCAUGAGGUCUUACUCUUCCAGUGCUAGACCCCUACGCAGUUUGGCCAAUGCACCCAUAUCAUGACUGACAUCAGUGCCUGUUUUUUCCAGGAAAGAAGCAGAGCCAAGUAGCUGCUGCCCUUCUAGCAUGAAGAGUAGCAUAUAUAGUUAUGACUAGGCCCAGCUUUGAACCAAGUUUCUGUACAGAGGAGAAGCAACUGAGCUGAGAUGUAGUGGGAAAACCCAGUGGCAAGUCACCUUUUCCUUUAAGGAGAAAAGGUAAAGAGAAGUUCUCUAGGUUAGGAAGAGUUUCAUCAUAGCUAUUUUCUAGGGGCAGACUGUAUGGUCAUGCAAAAUGCUCUUAGGGGAUUCGAAUGUGCAUCCAAGUCACAGGGAUCUGAGAAGUCUAGAAGUACCACAGAAGGACUUGUUCCUUGAGGUUGAGGGACAUUUUUGUUCUGCUCUCCUGUGACCCCUCUUGGAGGAACUGUGGAGACCUGUCUUUGGAGGGGGCUGUGGCCAAGCUCUUUCUACACUUGGAGGUAAAGUUGCCAUUAGGAAUGAAGGUAGAGAAAGAGUAGUAACCCUUAUGGCUGUAAAAGAAAGCAAGCUCUGAGAAAAAAAUAUCCACUCCCCUUCAAAAAAGGAAAAGAAAAAUCGGUCCCAGGGAGCCGACAUACAAAGAUUAAGCCAAAUAGUAGUUCCGGGGCCUUGCAGAGCGCUCACCGCAGUUCUAGGUAUACCAGCCAUGAAGGUCUUCUAGAGGGGCAAGAGCAAACAGUUCUGCUCACUGUAUUGCCUUCUCACCUGAGCUCCAUCCAGACUCCUCUUAUGUUCUUUCACAGAGAGGGCCUGUGUCUCCUGGUCUCUUCUGAGCGCUGUCCCUAGUUCAUUAGGUGAUAAUAGGAAGUGAUUUCUUUCCUAUCAUCUCCAGCAAUCAGAGUCAUUAAGAAUAAGAACAUGGAGAACCGAAAUGAGAGGGUUUGAUGGGUGUAUAUAUUCACCUCCUUCAUUAGAGCAAGACGCAAGGAUUGCUCCCAGAGCUUGUAUUUCUUGAGAAUAAAUAGGCAAGAAACAAAGAUCAUGGUCACG